GAUGAACGCUGGCGGCGUGCCUAAUACAUGCAAGUCGAGCGAACAGACGAGGAGCUUGCUCCUCUGACGUUAGCGGCGGACGGGUGAGUAACACGUGGAUAACCUACCUAUAAGACUGGGAUAACUUCGGGAAACCGGAGCUAAUACCGGAUAAUAUAUUGAACCGCAUGGUUCAAUAGUGAAAGACGGUUUUGCUGUCUCUUAUAGAUGGAUCCGCGCCGCAUUAGCUAGUUGGUAAGGUAACGGCUUACCAAGGCGACGAUGCGUAGCCGACCUGAGAGGGUGAUCGGCCACACUGGAACUGAGACACGGUCCAGACUCCUACGGGAGGCAGCAGUAGGGAAUCUUCCGCAAUGGGCGAAAGCCUGACGGAGCAACGCCGCGUGAGUGAUGAAGGUCUUCGGAUCGUAAAACUCUGUUAUUAGGGAAGAACAAAUGUGUAAGUAACUAUGCACGUCUUGACGGUACCUAAUGAGAAAGCCACGGCUAACUACGUG
rnacentral:rRNA from 1 species